rnacentral:rRNA from 1 species
AUGGCGUAAGCUAUCACUUUUGGAUGGACCCGCGGCGUAUUAGCUAGUUGGUGAGGUAACGGCUCACCAAGGCAAUGAUACGUAGCCGACCUGAGAGGGUGAUCGGCCACAUUGGGACUGAGACACGGCCCAAACUCCUACGGGAGGCAGCAGUAGGGAAUCUUCCACAAUGGACGCAAGUCUGAUGGAGCAACGCCGCGUGAGUGAAGAAGGCUUUCGGGUCGUAAAACUCUGUUGUUAGAGAAGAAUGGUCGUCAGAGUAACUGUUGUCGCCGUGACGGUAUCCAACCAGAAAGCCACGGCUAACUACGUGCCAGCAGCCGCGGUAAUACGUAGGUGGCAAGCGUUAUCCGGAUUUAUUGGGCGUAAAGCGAGCGCAGGCGGUUUUUUAAGUCUGAUGUGAAAGCCCUCGGCUUAACCGAGGAAGUGCAUCGGAAACUGGGAAACUUGAGUGCAGAAGAGGACAGUGGAACUCCAUG